rnacentral:rRNA from 1 species
AUUGAACGCUGGCGGCAGGCCUAACACAUGCAAGUCGAGCGGGGUUUUCGGACCUAGCGGCGGACGGGUGAGUAAUGCGUAGGAAGCUGCCCGAUAGAGGGGGAUACCAGUUGGAAACGACUGUUAAUACCGCAUAAUGUCUACGGACCAAAGUGUGGGACCUUCGGGCCACAUGCUAUCGGAUGUGCCUACGUGGGAUUAGCUAGUUGGUGAGGUAAUGGCUCACCAAGGCGACGAUCCCUAGCUGGUUUGAGAGGAUGAUCAGCCACACUGGAACUGGGACACGGUCCAGACUCCUACGGGAGGCAGCAGUGGGGAAUAUUGGACAAGGGGCGCAAACCUGAUCCAGCCAUGCCGCGUGUGUGAAGAAGGCCUUCGGGUUGUAAAGCACUUUCAGUAAGGAGGAAGCGUUGAGUGUUAAUAGUACUCAGCGUUGACGUUACUUACAGAAGAAGCACCGGCUAACUCUGUGCCAGCAGCCGCCGUAACAC